GUGUCAGCCGCCGCGGUAACACGUAGGCACCAAGCGUUGUCCGGAUUUAUUGGGCGUAAAGAGCUCGUAGGCGGUUCAGUAAGUCGGGUGUGAAAACUCUGGGCUUAACCCAGAGCCGCCAUCCGAUACUGCUGAACUUGAGUACGGUAGGGGAGUGGGGAAUUCCUGGUGUAGCGGUGAAAUGCGCAGAUAUCAGGAGGAACACCGGUGGCGAAGGCGCCACUCUGGGCCGAAACUGACGCUGAGGAGCGAAAGCGUGGGUAGCAAACAGGAUUAGAUACCCUGGUAGUCCACGCCGUAAACGUUGGGCACUAGGUGUGGGCUCCAACCAACGGAGUCCGUGCCGUCGCUAACGCAUUAAGUGCCCCGCCUGGGGAGUACGGCCGCAAGGCUAAA
rnacentral:rRNA from 1 species